GGGGUUCAGUGUUUUGCCCAAGGGUUCAGUGUUGUUGUUCUUUGGCUUUUUAACAUAGCUGUAGUUGCCUAUACCAGAGGUAAGUUAGCAAUUAUUGACAGUAAUCACACUUAUUAAAUAGUUAAGGCAUAAUAAAUCUUACUCAUUGUUAUACUGUCAUACUUUCUAGGUGUUGACUCUGAACCAGGUGAGAAGGAUGGACGACCACAGGAUUGGGAUGACUACAAGUCCAGCAGAAGAGCGGGGGUUGCCUUUCUUUCACUCGGCCAAGGCAAGAUUCCUCUGGGAUUUUGGCACUCGUCAGGCAGCUGAGAACGGACGUCAACCAACCCAUCAUCUCAGGCAGACCCGGCACCACAGCAGACCACUGGA